GAUGAAGAACGUAGCGAAUUGCGAUAUGUAAUGUGAAUUGCAGAUUUUCAGUGAAUCAUCGAAUCUUUGAACGCAUCUUGCGCUCCUUGGUAUUCUGAGGAGCAUGCCUGUUUGAGUGUCAUUAAAUUCUCAACUACACUGACUUUGAAUUGGUGUGGCUUGGAUUUGGGGGGAAAAUUGUUGUGGGCUUUUUGUAUAGUCUGCUCCCCUGAAAUUGAUUAGCGGUACCUUUGUGGAACUGUCUACAGGUGUGAUAAUUAUCUACAUCUUAGACAUCUGCUGGAAUGCUGCUUUCUAAACCUUACUUGUAUUGACAAUCUUGACCUCAAAUCAGGUAGGACUACCCGCUGAACUUAAGCAUAUCAAUAAGCGGAGGA
rnacentral:misc_RNA from 1 species